rnacentral:rRNA from 1 species
GACGAACGCUGGCGGCGUGCCUAACACAUGCAAGUCGAGCGAUGAAACCCUUCGGGGUGGAUUAGCGGUGGACGGGUGAGUAACACGUGGGUAACCUGCCUCAAAGAGGGGGAUAGCCUCCCGAAAGGGAGAUUAAUACCGCAUAACAUUAGUUUUUCGCAUGGAGAACUAAUUAAAGGAGUAAUCCGCUUUGAGAUGGACCCGCGGCGCAUUAGCUAGUUGGUGAGGUAAAGGCUCACCAAGGCGACGAUGCGUAGCCGACCUGAGAGGGUGAUCGGCCACAUUGGAACUGAGACACGGUCCAGACUCCUACGGGAGGCAGCAGUGGGGAAUAUUGCACAAUGGGCGAAAGCCUGAUGCAGCAACGCCGCGUGAGUGAUGAAGGCCUUCGGGUUGUAAAGCUCUGUCUUUUGGGACGAUAAUGACGGUACCAAAGGAGGAAGCCACGGCUAACUACGUGCCAGCCGCCGCGGUAAUAC